CAUCAGCAAUCCAGCCAUCCACCAGCCAGCCAUUUGUGAAGUGGAUUAAGAGGGAUAGCGAAGGGAACAUUAUUUAUGGGAGGCCAAGAUCCUCCAGAAAACAAGCAGCAGGUGUUGGCCACAGACAAACUGGAAAGACUGGUGGUUCCCUUCUCAGGGCUCCGGAAACCAGUGUGGAAAUGACCUGUGACUUUUCUCACGUAAACGCUGAGUCUUUCCUUCAAGAGCUAAGUUGCUCACUGGGUGAAGACUUAGAUGACAACGAAACACCACCACAAGCCUCCAGUGAUUGGUCAUUAAGAAAAAGUCUUGUUUCUGAGUGGUGGGCGAAAGUGAGGCCCCGGUUGGUGGACAACAUGGUGGCUAAGCAGCAUGUGGCCAGUCCAGUCUGCCAGAAAUGUGACUCCAGUCCAGCUAUGAUCCACUGUUGUGACUGUCGACCACACGCCUUUCUCUGUGCCCGUUGUGACAUCAACAUCCACAAGGCUCAAGUCUUCCACAACAGGGACUCAAUUAGAGAAGGCUUCUUUCAGCCGUUGCCACCAACAUCAUGUUUUGUGGAGAAGGUUCUUACCC